AGGCAAAUCCCAGAAAUAACGUCCCAGUUCGGAUUGCAGUCUGCAACUCGACUGCAUGAAGCUGGAAUCGCUAGUAAUCGCGAAUCAGCAUGUCGCGGUGAAUACGUUCCCGGGUCUUGUACACACCGCCCGUCACACCAUGGGAGUCGGAAAUGCCCGAAGCCAGUGACCCAACCUUUAAGGAGGGAGCUGUCGAAGGCAGGUCUGGUAACUGGGGUGAAGUCGUAACAAGGUACC
rnacentral:rRNA from 1 species